CCUAAAUAGAGAAUCUAAAUUAAAAUGGAGAUUUGGAAACAUUUUUCAUCUAUAAUAUUGUAGUCUAAAUUUUCUCUGCAUAGUGAGUACAUCCUAGUUGAGUCGGAUGUUUUCUUCCAAUUCAGCUAUAAAAUUUGACAUUCCCUUUCAGUUUCCAACAAUUCACAGUUUAGUAAAUAACACAGAAUUGACCCCAAAUGUAUAAAAAUCUGCAAAGUUAUUCACUAAAGUGUGAACGGUCACAUUUUAGACCAAAAUAGCCAAACUGG